GGGCAGGGCAGUGUGGGGGAUAGUGUGUGUUGAGGCUGUGACAAGCCUCCACACACUGAAAUUCCCUGGUGGUCCAGUGGGAUGACUAUUCUGUCUGCAGCUCUGCUCCGCGAGAGCUGCAAACCUCGUUCUCACGAGCGCCUGUCAGAGCGUUGCCAUGGCAACGCUCUGUAAGCUCGCGAGAACCACAGUACGUAAUCUGUAGCUCUGCACUCGGCGGAGCUUCAGAUCAGAGGCUGGUUCUCCCUGUGGGCAGACCAUGUGGAGGGGCCACCCGGCAGCAUACUGGGCAAGCCGCCGGGUCCCCUCUCACUGUCGGGUUCUCAGUCAUAGACCGAGGACCUGACAGUUCAGUCUGCCCUAAGGCGAUUUUAGGCGGCCGCCUAAAUCGCUUAUUUAGAGAGCCGCCUCUAUAGUCACCAAAACAACUUAAGCUAAUGAAGCUGUUGUGGUAUAUAGAUCGUGCUCUGGCAAUCUCACUGCUCAAUUCUCUGCCGUUUAGAAGUUAAAUAACUUUUGUUUCUGUUUAUGCAGCCCAAGCCACACCUUCACUGGCUGUGACUGACAGCCUGAAUGGAAAUUUUUUUUUUCUAUUUUCAAACAGAUAUUAACUUCUGGCAUUUUUAUCUUCAGCUCUUUAAAUUGGACUAUAAUCACAUAUAGGAGGCCCAUGCAAGGUCUAGCAAGCUAUUGACAGCGCAUGAGAUAGGAAAUAAUAAAUUAAAUAGUGUGCAAUUAAGGUAAAGUGUAAACAUUAGUGUUGGGGAAAAUAUUAUGUAUAUAUCUGUUUAAUAUGUGCCUGAUUAAGUCUGUGUGUAUCUUCAAAAGAAUUAUCUUCAAAGGGAGUUUCUGUUUAGAUAGUUGGAAAGCUACAGCACCUGAAAGGCACCAAUCACAUUUACAUAUAACUGGUCUUCAAAGGAGUCCCUAUCUACCGUGUUUCCCCGAAAAUACACCCUACCCCGAAAAUAAGACCUAGCUGAAUUUUCGGGGUGGGCUGCAAUAUAAGCCCUACCCCGAAAAUAAGACCUAGGCAUUGUACCUUUCGGUCCGGCGGGACUUCCUUCUUCUAUGAGGAGGAGGAGGAGCGUUGCAGGCCGCGGCAUCGCGC